rnacentral:lncRNA from 1 species
UGUUCAAAAUCAUGGUUCAUCGAGGCUUCCCCUUGAACUGGAUUGAUUGAAAAUGUACUUUGCUCUUCCAAAGUGGCAGCCACGAUCGGUUCACCUAGCAAUUUGAUUUAUUAUCAAUGCGGCAUCAAGCAAGGUGUUCCUAUUUCUCCAUUCUAUUCCCUUCUUAUAGUGGAUCCUUUAUGUCGAAUGCUCAGCCUUGCCUCCUCAGCUCAACUCUUUGAUGGUCUACAUAACCCCUAGAUUUGUAGCGGCACUCAGAUCUUACAAUAUGCCGACGAUACCAUUAUCUUCGCUCAAGCCAAGAAGGAUUUCAUUGCAACACUGAAAAUCAUUCUAUAUUCC